rnacentral:misc_RNA from 1 species
AACUUGACAUACUGAAAUGCUCUUCCAGGCAGCUUCAAAUUAUGCAUGGUUAUAGAUUGUUGUUUCUGAGAGCAUUAAAUGCGCUCGGCCCUUCUUCAUCAAGAGGGUAUUUCAUCAACUCCUGCUACGCACACUGUCAAACUGAAGUUCAAGAAACAUGGUACAGGGCUGACUCUCCUAAGUUAGCAAACAAGACUAUAGCCAAAGCACUCGGAGACUGGUUUUACGACAAAAAUCCAUUCCAGAAGAUUGAUUGCCCUUACCCUUGUGACAAAACGUGUCACAACCGUGUUUUUGAUCCGAA